rnacentral:pre_miRNA from 1 species
CAAAUACUCCCUCCGUCUGGAAAUACUUGUCAUCAAAAUGGAUAAAAGGAAAUGUAUCUAGAUGUAUUUUAGUUUUAGAUACAUCUCUUUUUAUCCAUUUUGAUGACAAGUAUUUUCGGACGGAGGGAGUAGAAA